ACGCUCGACACCUACGGGAGGCAGCAGUGGGGAAUAUUGCACAAUGGGGGAAACCCUGAUGCAGCGACGCCGCGUGGAGGAAGAAGGUCUUCGGAUUGUAAACUCCUGUUGUUGGGGAAAAAGAGGAUGGUACCCAACAAGGAAGUGACGGCUAACUACGUGCCAGCAGACGAGGUAAUCUGAGCGGGCUGGCAAGGC
rnacentral:rRNA from 1 species